rnacentral:misc_RNA from 1 species
GAUGAAGAACGUAGCGAAAUGCGAUAAGUAGUGUGAAUUGCAGAAGUACCGUGAAUCAUCGAAUCUUUGAACGCAAAUUGCACUCUCUGGUAUUCCGGGGAGUAUGCCUGUUUGAGGGUCGCUUAACAAACCAUCGAUUUCGUUGCUUUUUUUUUAAAGUGAUGUUUAUCGGAUUUUGAGCCGUCUUUUUUUUUAUAUUUAAGUGGCUUAAAAUUGAUUUUUUUGGUACGAUCGAAGCGUAUUUUUAUGAUCAAUUUUUGGUUAAAGAAACGCACACGUACCGUUAUUUAUAUGAUGUAAUACGUUUGACUAUUGGAUUUAGUUCAUUCGUAUACGAUAUCUUUCAAUAUUUGACCUCAAAUCAGGUAAGAACACCCGCUGAACUUAAGCAUAUCAAUAAGCGGAGGA